GACGAACGCUGGCGGCGCGCCUAACACAUGCAAGUCGAACGAGCGAGAGGAGGUUUACUUUCUCAAGCGAGUGGCGAACGGGUGAGUAACGCGUGAGGAACCUGCCUCAAAGAGGGGGGCAACAGUUGGAAACGACUGCUAAUACCGCAUAAGCCCACGACCCGGCAUCGGGUAGAGGGAAAAGGAGCAAUCCGCUUUGAGAUGGCCUCGCGUCCGAUUAGCUAGUUGGUGAGGUAAUGGCCCACCAAGGCGACGAUCGGUAGCCGGACUGAGAGGUUGAACGGCCACAUUGGGACUGAGACACGGCCCAGACUCCUACGGGAGGCAGCAGUGGGGAAUAUUGCACAAUGGGGGAAACCCUGAUGCAGCGACGCCGCGUGGAGGAAGAAGGUCUUCGGAUUGUAAACUCCUGUUGUUGAGGAAGAUAAUGACGGUACUCAACAAGGAAGUGACGGCUAACUACGUG
rnacentral:rRNA from 1 species